rnacentral:rRNA from 1 species
CCUACGGGUGGCAGCAGUGGGGAAUAUUGGACAAUGGGGGGAACCCUGAUCCAGCCAUGCCGCGUGUGUGAAGAAGGCCCUCGGGUUGUAAAGCACUUUCAGUGAGGAAGAACGCCUAGUGGUUAAUACCCAUCAGGAAAGACAUCACUCACAGAAGAAGCACCGGCUAACUCCGUGCCAGCAGCCGCGGUAAUACGGAGGGUGCGAGCGUUAAUCGGAAUUACUGGGCGUAAAGCGCGCGUAGGUGGCUUGAUAAGCCGGUUGUGAAAGCCCCGGGCUCAACCUGGGAACGGCAUCCGGAACUGUCAAGCUAGAGUGAAGGAGAGGAAGGUAGAAUUCCCGGUGUAGCGGUGAAAUGCGUAGAGAUCGGGAGGAAUACCAGUGGCGAAGGCGGCCUUCUGGACUGACACUGACACUGAGGUGCGAAAGCGUGGGUAGCAAACAGGAUUAGAUACCCUGGUAGUC